UGAAGGAAAGGGAUUGUAUGACUGAAGCUUAAGUGAAUAUCCUGGUCCAAAAGCCAGGGCGUGCCCGGCAGAGUACAUCUCUCCCCAGAGUGGAAGUCCUGUGGAGGCGAGAGUGCUGCUGGGAGUGAGUCAUACUCGGGCCACUUCGUCUGCCAGGAUGGACUGUUUGUCCAGCCCAGACAAACAGUCCAUGUUCUAUCGCACAGAUAAUGAAACUCAAACAUCUGAAAUUGCUACUGCUGCAUAGGUGUACAUACCAGUUCCUGUUUCUGGUUCCGCCUAAUUUACCUUGGCACUAUUUGCACAGAAGUCAAAUAUUUGGUGCCUUGAGACAAGUGCAGAGCAAAUCUGGGGGUGUGGCCUGUACACGUCACUUUCCACAGUGCAGACUGCCUGGCUUUGUCCAUUUAGCUUUCAGAGCUACUUCUUUCCCAGGAAAACAGCAAAGGCGGGGAAUGCAGUCCAGAGUACUGCGCUAGGAAGCAGAAGUCCAAUGGCAUGACCUGAGACAGGCGAUCGGCUUUUCCGAGUCUCAGAUUCCUCAUCCGGAGCACUGGGGCCAAGGUUAAGGCUUUUUAGGGAUUUUAAACAAGCAAAUGAGAAAUGCAUAAAAUUGUUGUUUAUGUUGUUUAAAUAAUUAAACAAAAAUCUCAGGCAGUGACAGCCACUAUAGAUGACUGAAGAAGCACAAAGUCUUGGCCACCAAUGGCCUCGUCACCAAGGAGCUGUUUGCAGACAGUGCUCACCCCGAAACUUUCCUCUUCUCACUGAAGAAAGCAGGGCCUCUCGAAACUGCUCAGACUGUGCUGGGAGAUCCAAGUGUCUCCAAGAAACACAGAGGGCUGAGGAGGAUAACAUGCCAUCCUGCUGACGGCUAGACGAGGCAAACCUCCUGAUCCUCAGUGUUUCAAUCUAGAAACAGCAGGACCAUUGUGAAGUCUGUAUUCAGUCCUGGACACCAAGCAAUCACUGCAGGAAAAAGAAGAGUCUCUGGAAUUAAUACAAAAGCUCAUUCCUACCUAAGUCCACAUGGAACAAGAAGUGGAAUUCGUCAGAGGAUCAAUGGUGAUGCCACACCCAAGUGGUGAAAUGGAGACCCCAAGCAUUACCUGACACUGGCUUAUUUUUACUGAUUCCCUAGACCAAUGCUGUCCAAUAGAAAUACAGUCAUCAACUGCAUAUAUAAUUUAAAUGUUCUAGAAGUUGUGUUUUAAAAGUGACAACAAGCCGGGGAUUAAGCUCAGUGGUUCCACCGCCUGCCUUUGAAAGCGCAAGGUCAGGAGUUUGAUCCCCGGUACCAAAAAAAAAAAAAAGUGACAACAAAACAGAUUUCAGUCCAUGGGCAGCUGGCCCCAAGACAGAAACAACACGGUGGAAGGGAAAGCUGCUUACUCGGCGGACAGGAAGCAGAGCAGAGGGGCAGAACCUGAGCGAAGGCAAUGGGGAGCAGAUACAGCGGGAAGGUCACGCCCCAUGACCGCCUCCUCCAACGAGGGUCCGCCUCUCAACCGCCGUUCUUCCGUUCCUCCGGCUCCGCUGCGGUGCCUUCGCCAGCCAGGCGCAUAGUCCAGUCUCUGCAGCCAAACUGAGGAUUAGGGCAACGAGAGCACGGUCCUGAAGGGCGGCUCAGGCCUCCGAGUUUAUACUUUCUGACCUAUAGGAGUAGCCUCACUUUGUUCCACUCCCAUGUUCCUACACUUGUUCUCUCUCCCGCACUAGCUUAUCUUAAAUCUAAGUUUGAAUGAGUUACAUUGUUUUUAAUUUGUCUUAAUGGUCCACUCAGGGAUACAGUUUGAAUUAUUGGACUGGCUGUGGAGGUAUCCUUCCUUCCUUCCUUCCUUCCUUCCUUCCUUCCUUCCUUCUCUUUUCUUUUUUUAAUGAAAGCACAUGUUUUUAAGUGGAACCUAUGGGAAUAUAAUUUGAGACUUAGUAUGCAGAGUUAUUAGAAUGGCAAUUAUAACUAAAUAAACAUACAUCAGUUCACAGUAGCUGAUCUCAAUUAACCUGGUAUGGGCAGCUUUCUCCCACAUAGAACAGCAAAAUUCCUCGUGACAUUGGCAUCUACUGACUUUGUGCUGAAGUGGUCAGGAAAAGAAAGGCAGAGUUGAUGACUAAGAUAACAACUGAGGUGUGAGGUGUUAGCAGUAGUUGUUAUGUUUGUAGAUCUCUUUUUGGACACAAAAUUCACCACAGUGUGAUUAUGUAUAUUUAAAAUUGUACUUAUGUUUGUGCAUAUGACGUAUGUGUACACCCCAGCCAAACCUCAUUGUGAACAUGAACAUUAGUGGAUACUUUAGUGCAAGUCUCAGCAAACUGUGACCCACAAGCCAAGUCUAGCCUCACAGUUGCUUGCUUUUCUCUUUCUUGAAACCAAAUUUGAUUCAUACUGAAAAUGAACAAUACCAAACUUCACAUGAUCAAAAGAAUCUACCAGUAAUUGACCUGCAUGACUCAGGAAGCAGAAUGUCCUUUAGAGAAUGACAAUGCAAUCUUGUAAUCUUGUAAAUGCCCAGGAUACAAUUAAAUUUCAUCAGAAUGCAAAGAGAAAAAUGAGAAUCAUAAGAGAAAAAGACAUGUAUUAAAAAUAUUUGUGAGAUGACCCUGUUGUUAGGAUUAGCAGAAAAAAAUUUAAAGUAGCUUCUAUAAAUACGUUCAAGAGAAAAUAAAGAGAGAAAUCCCAAGGACUAAAUAGUAUGUGAAAUUAAAAAUUCACGAACUAGGCUUAUCGUCAGUUUGUGAACUGCAAAUUUCAUCAGUUAACUUGAAGACAGACCACGUGGGAUUAUCCAGUCUAAAGACCAGAAAGAAAAGGGCCAGGGAUUUAGCUCAGUGGCGUCGUGGUCAUGACUUGGAUCCCCGGUACAGCAAAGAGAAAAAAAAAAA